AAGUUAAAGACCAAGGUUUUAGAGAAAAAUUUAACACCAAUGGAGAGAGAGAGGUUUCAGAAUGAGACAGGUUUAACAGUGGUUAAGAAAGUUAAAUACUUGGGGAUUAACAUGACAGCAAAAAUGGGAAUUUAUUUAAAGACAACUAUGAAAAAUGCUGGGCUGAAGUGAAAAAGAUUUAGAAAUUUGGUCAAAUUUGAAGCUUUCACUGCUGGGCCGUAUUGCUGCGGUAAAAAUGAAUGUAUUGCCUAGAAUGUUGUUUCUGUUUCAAACACUGCAAAUUGUGGACAAAAUGGACUGUUUCAAGAGGUGGCAGAGAGAUAUUUCUAAAUUUGUCUGGCAGGGCAAGAAGCCUAGAAUAAAAUUUAAAAUAUUAACAGAUGCAAAGGAAAGAGGUGGAUUUGCCCUGCCAGACUUUAAACUUUACUAUGAAUCAGCAGCUUUUUGCUGGUUGAAAGAAUGGUUGCUUCUUGAAAACACUGACAUUUUGGAUCUAGAAGGUUUCAACAAUGUAUUUGGAUGGCAUGCAUAUCUGUGGUAUGAUAAGGUCAAAGCACAUAAAGCAUUUAAAAAUCACAUUGUCAGGAAAGCAUUGUUUAAUGUCUGGAUAAGAUACAAGGACUUAUUGGAAAAUAAAACUCCAAGGUGGCUGUCACCGAUGGAAGCAAAAGCUCUGAAAAAGCUCAAUAUGGAGGCCAAAUGGCCGAAAUAUUGGGAAAUUUUGGAACAAGACGGAGAUAGACUGAAAUUGCAGAGUUUUGAAAAAUUAAAAAACAAAGUGCGAGAUUGGCUUCAUUAUUAUCAGAUAAUGGAGGCAUAUAAUUUGGAUAAGAAAAUUGGUUUCCAGGUGGAAAAAUCAAAAUUAGAAACAGAACUAUUAGAACCCAAAACUAAGAUUUUGUCAAAGAUGUAUAACUUGCUGUUGAAAUGGAAUACUCAGGAUGAAACGGUGAAAUCUGCUAUGAUUAAAUGGGCACAAGAUGUUGGACAUAACAUAAUGAUGGCUGACUGGGAACAGUUAUGGACCACAGGUAUGAAGUUUACGGCAUGUAAUGCCUUAAGAGAGAAUAUUAUGAAAAUGAUAUACAGGUGGUACAUGACCCCAGUCAAGCUUGCAAAAAUUUAUCAUUUGCCCGAUAACAAAUGUUGGAAAUGUAAAGAAACUGAAGGUACAUUCUUUCACCUUUGGUGGACGUGCCCAAGGAUUAAGGCUUUCUGGGAAAUGAUAUAUAAUGAACUGAAAAAGGUAUUUAAAUAUACCUUCUUGAAGAAACCAGAGGCCUUUCUCCUAGGCAUAGUCGGUCAAUUGGUGCCAAAGAAAGAUAGAACUUUUUUCAUGUAUGCCACAACAGCAGCAAGAAUACUCAUUGCAAAGUAUUGGAAGACACAAGAUUUACCCACUCUGGAAGAAUGGCAGAUGAAGUUGAUGGACUAUAUGGAACUGGCAGAAAUGACUGGCAGAAUCCGAGACCAGGGAGAAGAGUCGGUGGAAGAAGAUUGGAAGAAGUUCAAAGAUUAUCUACAGAAAUAUUGUAAAAUUAAUGAAUGUUAGAACGAUGUUGGAUAGAAAUUAAGUGGUUUCUAGCUGUAAUGCUUUAAGGGAAUAUGAAAAAGGGGUUGUUAAGAGGUAAAAAUCUAACGUUACUAUUUUAAGACCAAAGAAUAGGAUAAAUAAAGAGGGUAAGGAUUUGCUGAACCAACAAACUGAACUGGAAUACAAAAAAGGGAGGUAUGAGGAGGUCCGGGAAACAAGCU